rnacentral:rRNA from 1 species
GACGAACGCUGGCGGCGUGCCUAAUACAUGCAAGUAGAACGCACAGUUUAUACCGUAGCUUGCUACACCAUAAACUGUGGGUUGCGAACGGGUGAGUAACGCGUAGGUAACCUGCCUGGUAGCGGGGGAUAACUAUUGGAAACGAUAGCUAAUACCGCAUAAUAUUGAUUAUUGCAUGAUAAUUGAUUGAAAGAUGCUAUUGCAUCACUACCAGAUGGACCUGCGUUGUAUUAGCUAGUAGGUGAGGUAACGGCUCACCUAGGCGACGAUACAUAGCCGACCUGAGAGGGUGAUCGGCCACACUGGGACUGAGACACGGCCCAGACUCCUACGGGAGGCAGCAGUAGGGAAUCUUCGGCAAUGGACGAAAGUCUGACCGAGCAACGCCGCGUGAGUGAAGAAGGGUUUCGGAUCGUAAAGCUCUGUUGUAAGAGAAGAACGGGUGUGAGAGUGGAAAGUUCACACUGUGACGGUAUCUUACCAGAAAGGGACGGCUAACUACGUG